rnacentral:rRNA from 1 species
GUAGCAAUACAGAAGUAAUUUAGUGGCGAACGGGUGCGUAACACGUGGGCAAUCUGCCGAAAAGUGGGGGAUAGCUCGCCGAAAGGCGAAUUAAUACCGCAUGUGGUGAGGGGGGACAUCUUCCUGAAUCCAAAGCCGGGGCAACCUGGCGCUUUUUGAGGAGCCCGCGGCCUAUCAGCUUGUUGGUGAGGUAACGGCUCACCAAGGCUUUGACGGGUAGCUGGUCUGAGAGGACGACCAGUCACACUGGAACUGAGACACGGUCCAGACACCUACGGGUGGCAGCAGUCGAGAAUUUUUCUCAAUGGGGGCAACCCUGAAGGAGCGACGCCGCGUGGAGGAUGAAGGCUUUCGGGUUGUAAACCCCUGUCAUUUGAGAACAAGGCGCCGAUAUUAACUGUAUCGGCGUUGAUAGUAUCAGAAGAGGAAGGGACGGCUAACUCUGUGCCAGCAGCCGCGGUAAUACAGAGGUCCCAAGCGUUGUUCGGAUUCAUUGGGCGUAAAGGGUGCGUAGGUGGCGCCGUAAGUCGGGUGUGAAAUUUCGGAGCUUAACUCCGAAACUGCAUUCGAUACUGCGGUGCUUGAGGACUGGAGAGGAGACUGGAAUUCAUGGUGUAGCAGUGAAAUGCGUAGAGAUCAUGAGGAAGACCAGUGGCGAAGGCGGGUCUCUGGACAGUUCCUG